rnacentral:lncRNA from 1 species
GGUUGUGGAGAAAGAGAGAAGAAUGAGUUUGUGCUUGUUACAAAUUGAAAAAGAUGAUGAGUUUGGAGUAUAUAUAUAGUCAGCAUACAAGUCGUAUACCAAACACAUACAACACAAGUCUUAUACAAUGACACUUAUACAAAGCCACUACAACACAAGUCUUAUACAAUGACACUUAUACAAAGCCACUACAAGCCAAGUCCCGUGAGACACUGAUUAUACAACUCCACUUUGCCAAGUCCCGUG